AUUGAACGCUGGCGGCAGGCCUAACACAUGCAAGUCGAGCGGAUGAAGGGAGCUUGCUCCUGGAUUCAGCGGCGGACGGGUGAGUAAUGCCUAGGAAUCUGCCUGGUAGUGGGGGAUAACGUCCGGAAACGGGCGCUAAUACCGCAUACGUCCUGAGGGAGAAAGUGGGGGAUCUUCGGACCUCACGCUAUCAGAUGAGCCUAGGUCGGAUUAGCUAGUUGGUGGGGUAAAGGCCUACCAAGGCGACGAUCCGUAACUGGUCUGAGAGGAUGAUCAGUCACACUGGAACUGAGACACGGUCCAGACUACUACGGGAGGCAGCAGUGGGGAAUAUUAGACAGUGGGCGAAAGCAUGAUCCAGCCAUGCCGCGUGUGUGAAGAAGGUCUUCGGAUUGUAAAGAACUUUAAGUUGGGAGGAAGGGCAGUAAGUUAAUACCUUGCUGUUUUGACGUUACCAACAGAAUAAGCACCGGCUAACUUCGUG
rnacentral:rRNA from 1 species